GCUCGGUGGUGUAGUGAUAGCACUCGUCCCCAGUAUGGAUGAAACGCGGGUUCGACUUUCGUCUGAGGUCG